AGCCCGCUCAGAAACUCAAGGAAUUGACGGGGCCGCACAAGCGGAGGAGCAUGUGGUUUAAUUCGAUGAUACGCGAGGAACCUUACCUGGGCUCGAACGUAAGAUGACUGAGGUGAAAGCUUACAUCUCUUCGGAGCAUUUUACGAGGUGCUGCAUGGUUGUCGUCAGCUCGUGCCGUGAGGUGUCGGGUUAAGUCCCAUAACGAGCGCAACCCCUACCUUUAGUUGCCAUCAGGUUAAGCUGGGGACUCUAAAGGAACUGCCUACGCAAGUAGUGAGGAAGGCGGGGAUGACGUCAAAUCAGCACGGCCCUUACGUCCAGGGCUACACACGUGCUACAAUGGCCGAUACAGAGGGCAGCUACCUGGUGACAGGAUGCAAAUCUCCAAAGUCGGUCUCAGUUCGGAUCGGAGUCUGCAACCCGACUCCGUGAAGUUGGAUUCGCUAGUAAUCGCGCAUCAGCCAUGGCGCGGUGAAUACGUUCCCGGGCCUU
rnacentral:rRNA from 1 species